rnacentral:rRNA from 1 species
UACGGGGGGGGCAAGCGUUGUUCGGAAUUACUGGGCGUAAAGGGCGCGUAGGCGGGUGACCAAGUCCGGGGUGAAAUCCUUCGGCUCAACCGGAGAACUGCCUUGGAUACUGGUCGUCUCGAGGGAGGUAGGGGUCUGUGGAACUGAUGGUGGAGCGGUGAAAUGCGUUGAUAUCAUCAGGAACGCCGGUGGCGAAAGCGACGGACUGGACCUUCACUGACGCUGAGGCGCGAAAGCUAGGGGAGCAAACGGG